rnacentral:tRNA from 1 species
CAGCGGUUAGAGCUUGUGGCUGUUAACCACAAGGUCAUUGGUUCAAAUCCAACC